rnacentral:lncRNA from 1 species
UAGAAUUCCAGACAAUUCAGAACAAAUACUACAAAUCAGAGACCAUACUCUAACCUCCUUUCCAUCUUACACUUUUGAAAGACAACUUAGAAGUGCAAAGGACAGUGAGCAACUCCACGCUAAUAGUUAACAUUGAGCCUUUAUUUUGACUUUCUUCUGUUGAGCUGGAGUUAAAUUUGUCUUCAGUAAAAACUUUGCUCAGCUUCUCUAUGGUGCAUAUCAUAUUGUCUCUAAUGUAAAAUGUUCAAUAGGCAUGAAAGGCUGAGUGUAGGCUUGUCAUUCACACAGGAAGACCAGAGUAUAAUGGGUAAGGGAAAAAGAAUAAAUCUUUUUGGGAUGCCAUUUUCACAACAAUAAGUAUUGUGUUCAAUUUA